ACCCCGCUGUCAAUCAUCAAGAGGACAGUCCACACUGCCUUACCUAGGGAUAAUUAAGUGUUUUGGGACCAUGUGGGUCAUUUAUAAAAGAUGGAGCAACUCAUACCUACUCGCAGCCACGCCGCUCGAAAUGGAAAUACUGGUUACUCUUUUGUCAGACAAAGCCUAAACGUGUCUGCGGGGUUCACUAUAAGGCUCCUAUGGGCCAUAGUGACUUUUUGCGCUGUAACAGGUGACGCACACGGAGAGCAAUUCAAACUGAGCAACAGAUGGAGGUGCACAACAGGAUAUUACCACUAAGAGGAUUCCUCUUUCUUCGCCCAUCACUCUGGACGUUUUUUUUUUUUUGUGGGAACAGAGUCUUUCAUCGUGACCCAGCUCGACUGGCUUACUGGAACUGGUGUAGAGUUGUUGGUUAAGCCCUCUGGAACCCGCCACCACUACCCAUGUUGACCUGCUCGGCAAACCAAAAUCCUUAAACAAGUCCGCUGUGAAUAACCUUAAAAUAAGUAACCAGGUGGGAUUAGAAAGUCCUCGCAGCGUCUUGAGUAUCUGAACUUUGACUUUUCACUCAGAACUCCGAGGUAGGUGCCAGCUCUCAAUGUGUGAAUGGCCCAGUGUUAAGUUUACUCUCCAGGGCUACAGUACAGGACUGCUCAAUAUACUGUUUUUAUAUCGUCAUUGCAAUAUCAACUAGCGCAAUAUACAUAUCACGAAAGGCUGCAACAUAUCGCGAUAGACACUCAGAUUUUUUUGUGUUAGUUGAAAGAAAAUAUCAGU